rnacentral:lncRNA from 1 species
UUUUUUUUNUUUUUGGUCAUGCCCAUGGCAUGCAGAAGGUUCUGGGCCAGGUAUUGCAUGUAUCUUUUUGAAUUAUAGUUUGUCUGGAUAUAUACCCAAGAGUGGAAUUGCUGGAUCUAAUGGUAACUCUACUCUUAUUUUCUGAGAAACCUCCAUACUGUUUUCCAGAGUGGUCGUACUAACUUAAAUUCCUACCAACAGUGUAAGAGGGUUCUCUUUUUCCACAUCCUCUCUAGCAUUUGUUAUUUGUAGUUUUUUUGUUUUUUUUUUUAAUAGCCAUACCCACAACAUGUAGAAGUUCCCAGGCCAGGGAUCGAAUCCGAGCCUAUGCUGCAACCUACACCACAGCUGCAGCAACACUGGAUCCUUAACUCACUGUGCCACAGUGGGAACUCCUAUAGACUUUUUAGUGAUGGUCAUUUUGACCUGUGUGAGGUGGACCUCAACGUAGUUCUGAUUUGCAUUUCUCUAAUAACUAGUGAUGCUGAACAUUUUUUAAUGUGCUAAUGUGGCUGGACUUCUCUUCUGAACAGCAAACUCUUCUGUAUAAAAACUUACUCAACAUCUCUCCCUGGAUGUCUGAGAACACCUUAAACUCUGCAUGUUCAGAUCAGAUCACUCGAGUUCUUGUACCCAUCCCUUAAAAAUGCUUUUUCCUCAGUCUUUCCAAUUUGCUAUGGACUACAUGUUUGUGGCCACCCAAAAUUCAUAUGUUGAAGCCCUGGUUCCCAACAUGAUGGUAUUUGUUUUUGUUUUUUGUUUUGUUAUUGGCCACACCCAUACCAUAGCAGCAACCCAGGCCACUAGGUCUCACCAGAAACUGAAUUGGCCAGUGCCUUGAUCUUAGGCUUUCCAGCCUGCAGAACUGGGAGAAUAAAUUUCUGUCGUUCAGAGCGCCUAGUCUAUGGUAUUUUGCCAUGGCAGCCUGAGCUAAAUCACCAUCUCAGAAAAUGGUAACUAUCUGAAUCUAAACCAAAGUGCUCUAACAUCUGGUUCAGGGUAAGUUUUGAAAGACAACCAUCAGUGUUCUUGCCCAAGGAAAUCAGGUGUUUCCAUCAUGCCCCGCCUCCCAGGAGGAAGGGAGGGCAGGCCCCUCAGACAUCUGUCAGUUUCUCUCUAGCCCCUUUCUUUCUCCUCUGGAGUUACUUAGUCUUUCUCAAGGGUCUGGGGCAGAUAAGACAGGGCUUGUAAGAGAAAAUCUGUGAUUAAAAUACAGCAGCCAGGAUGAAGGGCAGGGCAGGCUGGAGAGCCCUGUGGGGUAAUAAAGGGGUGAAUUUCGAGAGGCUGAGCCCUGAGGAGGCUCCUUUACUUCCCAGAGGGGUGGAGCUGAGGAAGGCAGAGAGGGACAGACCUCACCAUGGAAACGGAGGAGGCAGAGAGACUGAACCCAAGUCUCCCCUUGCUAGUCCUUUCUGUGGGUGUUUCCAAGGAAAUGUGGCUUAGAGAAUUACAGCCCACUGUCCUAGACAUGCAGUGAAGCGUGGUGGUUAAUACGCAGCCUCUAGAGCCAGAUAGCCUGGGUUGGAAGGCCAGCUCUGCAGCUCAGCAUCUGGGGCCAGCUAUACCCCGCUUCCUCAUCUGGAAAAUGGGGAUAACAGCACCCACCUCACAGCACUGCUAGGGAAAUUAAAGGAUGAUGCUGCGUAAAGAACUUAGGGCAGUGCCUGACCAGAGUUAGCUCUUACCGCCCCUUCUCUCUGGAAGGCAAAAUCUGCUGUCAGCAAGCUGGACGCAGACCUAUGGAACCCAGGGCUGCCAGGCAUUCAGCCAACAGUUCCCCUCCCUGGCCCUUCCCCAGCCCAAGGCCCAAGGUCCUUUGGGCAAGUGUUAGCCCCUCCCUGGGAGUCUCGGCCCUGGAUGAUGGAGAGAGCAGGGCUCACUUAGCUUGUGUCCCUAUCUGAGGGGCCUGAAGUGCUUACAGGAGGUAGCUGGGAUUUCAAAAUUGUUAAUUCUGAGAAGCCCAGGCAUGAGGAGGACUUGCUUUUACAGGCAGUUGAAAAAAAAAGUGCACGUUAGCUUUCUCGUCUGGAAGGCUCUUUGGGUGCGCCCUGCUGCUUAGGGCCUGAUGCUGAGCCCCGUCGAGUCUUCCCAUUACUGCGGGAUUUCUGAGAGGCCCUGCUCUGACUCCUGGUUAUUCUUACCAUGCAGUGGGGGUAGGGAGAUAGAAGGUGGGGUAGGGGUGGAGGGAGGAAGGGUGGCAGGCAUCUCGUCUACUGAGUGUUAUCAGAAAGGGAUUAACAUUCUGCAGAAAACUGGCAGAACACACAUGCAUACUGCUUUUACCCUUCCAAAGAGCUUUCAUGUGCAUUCUGUCUCUUGAAGCACCUGGGGCCUGGGACAGCAUCUCAAAUAAUCUUGGACCCCACGAGACAGCAAGGAAGGCCAGGAAGGUUUUAUUAGCUCACAUUGUGCAUGAGCAAGUCAAGAAGGUAGAAAGGGGAGCCUGUGACGUGGGGGGCACGUGGCGCAGCACAGAGAAAGCAAGAGAAGGUCGGGAGAGAGGGCUUCUGGUAAAGGCUCCAUCCCUACCUGCCCAAAUGGCCUUGGGCAAGAUCCUGAACUUCACUUGGCUUCAGCUUUCUCAUCUGCAUAUCAGGAUCGUGGUACCAACUGCACCAACCCCACAGGACCAUUAAUUAUGAGACAAGGACGAGGAACACAAAACACAUAACAGGCUCUCUAAACAUGAGAGAUGACUUCCGGGGGCGGGAGGGCACCUCUCCCACAGCUCCAAGUGUCCAGAACACGGAGGAACAUCGGAAAGAGAAGGAGGAGCAUCUGCCAUGGGGCACACUCUGCACUCCAACUGGCUCCAAGAUCUCAAAGCAGAUGUUCUCAUCUGCUUCCAAGUGAGGCUAAGAGGAUGAGAAACGAGCGAAGCUACUUGGAUACAGAACUGGAAUUCGAACUCACAACUGUCUUUGUAGACCUUGAAGCUCACGCUCUGACUCCCCUAUGCUGCUUUCCUGACCCCACCUCUGAAAACCACACACCCAGGCAUCUCAUGUAUGUCACAGAGCUCGUGGGUGAAACCUGAGGCACUUGACUGACUUCCUCACUUUGAGCCCGGUUACUCUCGGUUUAGACAUAAUUCUGACCUACCUGGUUAUCAGCUUUCCCAUCUUGCUGCAUAUUGGAAGGGACAUGAGGGGACCAAUCAACAUUGACAGGAGCAAGAAGUAACAGAUGACAGGAGGAAAAUACAUUUUAAGAGUAAUUUUAGCAGUGUUGGAUGGUUUUGUGUAGAAACAAAUAACCCUACAAAUGUCUUUGAUCCCUGCAGCUAUCACUUGUCAGCGAU